UCUUCUUCUUCUUCUCUUUCACGUUGCUUCCUAACCUCCAUAAAAGCUUGAUAAGAAAGCUCCACAACCUUCCUUAAAUAGCUCCAAAUUUCGUACUUUUGGUGCACCCUUUCCAUAAACCCUUGUGCUCUUCCACUCUCUCUCCUUAAAACCCUUGAAAAGUCUUAUUUUCAUACUCUCUCACUAGUUAGGUGUUUUAGAGAGAAAAAGAGGAAGCUUUAAAAAUAGCUUGAAAGUUUUGGAAAGAAUUUCAAAUACAAGCUACCAAGGUGAGUAGUAUACUAAAUUUGAGAUUUGGUGUUGAGAAUGAUUAGUGUUUAGAUUUGUAGGUGAAUUGGUAGUUGGGAUGUUCAUUCAUUUUAAAGUGAUAAAGGUAGAGAAGAAUAGAUAGCCAUUUAAAUGACCAUUGUAAGUUAGCUAAGAGAAAGCUUUUGGGCUUUAUAAGUAUGUGAAUUGACAUAUUAGUGAUGCUAAUGUGAUGAUAGGUUCUAACGAAGUCUCACAACCCCAAUUGGACCAUUAGGGAGGUUAGAGUCGGUUAAAGGCUCAACAAAUACCAGUGAGUGGACUUGCAUUUCAAAUUUUGUUUUAGGAAUGUGAAUGCAAUUGUGCAAACAUUGGAAAGAUUUUAUCUAGUUUUCCUUUGAAAAUGUACCUUGGGAACAAGCCUUUGGUGAAGUGAUUUUAUAUUGUGAAAAUGUGCUAUACAAUGGUUUAUGUGUUAUCACAAUAUGAUAAUAUGCAUAAUAUGAUUUGGGUUCUUCUUUGUAUGUUGAUGUGGACCCGGCUAUAUGUGAGUAGGAGUGUACAUAAGCCGAUGAUGACCCGGCUAUGUGCGAGUGGGAGUGCACAUAAGCCGAUGAUGACCCAGCCAUAUGCUAGUGGGGAGUGCGCAUGAGCUGAUGACGAUGGGAGAGUGUGCAUGAUGAUGAAUAUACAUAUACAUGUAUAGAUAUGUGUGUUAUAGAAAGUUCAUGAAUAUGUAAAUGGUUGAAAUGCAUGUGAAAUUUGACAUGUUGAACUUUGAGAAAUUAUAUGAGUUUCAUGUUGUGUUGGUCAUGUGAACAGGGUGGCCUUUGCUUGAGGGAAUGAGGAAUUUUUGCUGGUACCCUGUUUCUCGCUGAAUCUCGUUACAGCGAGAAACCCUCGGGUUUGUGCUGGCCGGAAUCUCACUGUAGCGAGAAUGUUACUGUAGCUUCUCGCUGCAACUAGAAACUUUUUGUUCUGAGAUCAAAAAUUUCGCUGCAGCGAGAUUCAAUCUCGUUGCAGUGAAAAACUUUCUGUUUUGCUCCUCAUUUGGUUCGGUUGCUUUCCUAUUUUCCAUUUCUUUGGUACCAUAGUUGAGCAUAGACUUCCAACAUUAAGGAAUAAAUGAAUUAAGUUUAAAAUGAGGAGGUUUGGUGAGAAACCCUUGGCCAGUUAAGAAAUCCUCGGUUUGUUGAUAAUUUAAAUCAAGUGUCGCUGCAGCAAAAAUUCAUUCUCACUGCAGCUACGCUACAGCGAGGACCCGUCGUUUAUUUGACUUGAUUCGCAUGAAUACUAUUAAAGUUUUCACUCUCCAAAUCCUUUAUUGAGCAUGGACCCUUUUCAUAAAGUGAUUUACUCAUGUGGGGUUUACAUGAGGGGUUUUAAUAAGAACUAAAACAAAUUGCAUUAUUUUGAAAAAUGAAUGCAUCAUGAUUUCGUUAAACAUUCCUUAAUGUUUGCUUGUUCCCUUUCUUGUUCACUCACUGGGUUUAUACUCACUGUUUUCAACUUCAUGUUUUCAGAUCACGAGGCAGUUGGUAACUAGGUCGAAGUGUCUUCGUAUAUUCGACUCUUGGUAGGUGUCUCGGCAUUCAGUAGCUGUACAUUCGUCCGAGUCUCUCCGCUGAAAGUCGAGUACUCUUUUGUUGUGUAUAGACAAACCGCUGUAAAUUAUUAAAUUAUGUUUAGAUAAUAUAUGUACUAUUUGAUUGGUAUGCCACUAUGAGAUGGCAAAUGUUUAGUAUUAUUUUGAUUCAAAGUUAUAAAAUGUGACUUAGCAACUUUUAAUGGAAUGGUGAAAAGGUUAUAUUAAUAGGCUUGCUUGGGCUUAGUGGACUACGUCCAUUAGGCCCAUGAGCUAAUCAU
rnacentral:lncRNA from 1 species